rnacentral:rRNA from 1 species
CCUGUCGUUACGUCGUAUCAUUUGCUGAUCCUUUCGAUUGGGUCCUAUGAUACAAUUUUUCUUUCAACACCUCAAGUCAAGUAAGAAUACCCGCUGAACUUAAGCAUAUCAAUAAGCGGAGGAGAAGAAACUAACAAGGAUUCCCUUAGUAACGGCGAGUGAAGUGGGAAAAGCUCAAAUUUUAAAUCUCCGAGGUUUCCUUGGCGAGUUGUAAUUUGAAGAGAGUGUUUUGACAUCCAGGUUUAAUCCAAAUCCUUUGGGAUAAGGUAUCAUAGAGGGUGAGAAUCCCGUUUAUGAUUGAAUCUUGGGUGUCACUUAAUUCACUUUCCAAGAGUCGAGUUGUUUGGGAUUGCAGCUCAAAACGGGUGGUAAAUUUCACCUAAGGCUAAAUAUGUGCAAGAGACCGAUAGCGAACAAGUACCGUGAGGGAAAGAUGAAAAGAACUUUGAAAAGAGAGUUAAAUAGUACGUGAAAUUGUUGAAAGGGAAACGAUUGGAGUCAGUCAUGCUCGUGAGGAAUCAACUUGAUGGUGUGUGGGUUCUCUCGCAUACUUUCCGGUGCACUUCCUCGCUCGGCAGGUUAGCAUCAAUUUCGGUUAUCAUAAAAAAUUUGAGGGAAUGUGGCUUUCCUUCGGGAAAGUGUUAUAGACCUUGAUCUAUGUGGUGACCGGGAUUGAGGAUUGCAGCGGAUACCCUCGUGGCUUGUCACCUGGCUUCUGACAGUUACCUCGCUUUCGACAGCUUGCUAACGUUAGUGGGACACAAUUGUCUAGAUGUUAGAUUGACACUAUUUCGCUAAGGAUGCUGACGUAAUGGCUUUAAACGACCCGUCUUGAAACACGGACCAAGGAGUCUAACAUGUGUGCGAGUGU